AUUAGCAUUUUUCCAUAUCAUUUCCCAUCUCUAAUGCAGUAUGAUAUAUAUGUUAAGCCAAUUUGUAAUUCCAGUAAUAAACUGGAAUAAAAAAACAAACAAACAAAAAAAACUAGUCUAAACAGACUAGAAAAGCUUGUCAGAAGAAACUUUGCAGUACAUUUUUAGUUUAAAAAACCCAAAACUUUAUAAUCAGGAUUUUUUUUUUUUACUGAUUGUGGUGUGAACUGGAUAGUCCCCACAGGGUGGGUUGGGAUGUGCUAUGUGCUACUUGUUGGGAUGUAAUAGCAACCUCUGGCACCUUACUGCCCAAAUACAAAUACCUACCAGAUACUGGCGUUUCUUCUAUGGCAUGUAUGGCAUCAUGUAUGUUGGCCUCAGUUACGUCUUACUGUGUAGACUUCCAGUGCUAGACUGGAAUGCGAGUUCUGUGGGCAUGAGGUCUGGUACUCUGGUACUGCUGAGAUUUGCUCUUGAAGUUUUGGCAGGCACAUGGUAAAUUCUCCUCAGAUGCUCCAGUGAUCAGGGAACAUUGCCUGUCUUUUGCUGUCACUGUACAUGAAGUGUCUCUGCCCCUUUUUUGAUUUUCACCAAACCGGACAUGGUGGAAAUGUUUAGGCUUCCCAGUGCCUGUCUAACCUCAUGUGACAGCUUGAGUGGGAAACAGUCCUUUCUGCCACUGAAGUAACUGACAGUUCAUCCUGCCUGGAGCACAUGGCUCAUCUGAUACCAUGAUGUAAGUGGGUAUGACUCCAACACAAGCCAAGAUCAAAUUAUUUCAGUUCCUCAUACUCCAUUGUGUUGAAUUUUGAUAUUCUGUAGAAGGCUACCAGUCAUCUACCAGUCAUGCUUCUUGCAGUUCUCACUCUUGGCAAUAAUUUCAAAGUAUUCAUUGUUAGUGGUCAUCUUAGUGAGGAGAACAAAUGACGGCUGCCAUGGUUCCUGCACACCCUUGGUAGGUUUUCAGACAAAUGUCCAGCUCCUGAGUAACCGGGCUUGGGGAGUAACAGAAUACAUGUAAAGGCAUUACAUAAUCAGGACACAAAAAACUGGUAACUGUAAUCCAUUUCUGUUAUGUCAAUAAACAAAGUAAUCAGAUUACAGGUACAUUUUGUAACAAACAAAUGGGAAUACUAUCAGGAUUUUUUUUUCAUUUAAAACCGAAUAAAUUCAUCUUUUGACAUAAUACAAUGUAGACAGCUGAUAGAUUACAGUUCUGUUUCUCUCUUGCCAGUCGUGAGUCACAUUGAGCAAACGCCUGGUGCAUGCCAGUGUUGCCCAUACAGAGGCUCUACUUGGGCAGCCCACCCAGGUAGAUUAAGACAUACCCAGGUAGAUGAAAUCCGAAGUCCAAUUUUUCUUUUCAUUCAAGACAUGCAAUUGUCAGUUCAUAAUGAACACAAUCCAGUGGACCUUCAACCCCCCGAAAAAAAAAAGCGCCAGGAACAUGCGGCCCAUUCCCGAACGGUUAACAAUCAGGAAAUAACGUUUUAUUUCUCUCAUUCACCACCGCUCACUCUCUUCAGUCGCUGUCCAGCUCACUUGACCACCGCUGCUCUCGCUCUCUCUCUUGUUCCUUGCUGUCAAUUCGCUCUCUCAUCUUACCUCUACAGACAGGCGUUGGAAAAGUUUUUUCCCAGCCAAGGAAAAUUAAAUGUUCCAGCAAGCAAUGCCAACUGUGCAAAUAGGCACAUUUGAAAAUGUAUUCCAUAAGGUAAAUAGUUAUUUCUUUUGAAAGUUAUUUCUUUUGACAUGUUCAUCAAAAAUUAGAGUCUGUGUUUUGUUCUUUAAUAUAUUUUGAAAAUGGA
ensembl:lncRNA